UUUUGCAAUGGAUAUGUGGCUUAUACAAUUUAUCUCCAUUUAAAGCCCAUUAGACAAUGAUGGUUUUAGAAGAAACCUCAGACAUGCCCUCUGACUUAGUAAUUGUUUCUCCAGGAAAUGUUUUUUUUAGUCCUAAUUACGUUGUCCUAGUUUCCAAGAAAACAUAUUUUAUAAAUUCCUAAAUGUUAUUGACCAAAUGAAGCAAUUUUAUAAAACCUCAAAGCCAGUCAUUUAUUUACCCUAAAGCAUGGUUUGUCAGUACUGGGGAGUUGUUCAUUCAGGUAUUUUUUUCCUUUAUGUUGUUCCCUUAGAGAAUGUCACAAAAACACCACUGCUAAAUGCCUAGUAUGCUAAGGGCUUUACUAUCUGAUCCUUUUGGAUACAAUGCGCCUCUGUUGAUUGAGUCAAAUGAGGUGGAUUUGUUCAUUAAUUUCAGCUUUAUUGGAGUAUAACUGACAGAUGAAUUUGUUUUUUACACAAUACAAAAUUGUACUGAUGGCGAGAGAUUACAAAUAUGAAUUUCCAGUAAUCAGUUAUUUAAAUUAUGAUAACUGAUUACUC
rnacentral:lncRNA from 1 species